rnacentral:rRNA from 1 species
GAUCAUGGCUCAGGACGAACGCUGGCGGCGUGCUUAACACAUGCAAGUCGAACGGAAGUUACGAGGAAGCUUGCGAAUUGUAACUUUAGUGGCGGACGGGUGAGUAACGCGUGGAUAACCUGCCUUAAUGACCGGGAUAACACCGGGAAACUGGUGCUAAUACGGGAUACGCUCAAGUGAACACAUGUUUGUUUGAGGAAAAGGAGCAAUCCGCAUUAAGAUGGGUCCGCGUCCCAUUAGCUAGUUGGAGGUGUAAGAGACCCCAAGGCGACGAUGGGUAGCCGGCCUGAGAGGGUGAUCGGCCACAUUGGGACUGAGAUACGGCCCAGACUCCUACGGGAGGCAGCAGUAGGGAAUAUUGCGCAAUGGGGGGAACCCUGACGCAAGCAACGCCACGUGUGGGAAGAAGCAUUUCGGUGUGUAAACCACUGUCGGAAAGGAAUAACGGAAGACUUCGGUCUUUAUGAAUGUACUUUUAGAGGAAGCACCGGCAAACUUCGUGCCAGCCGCCGC